rnacentral:lncRNA from 1 species
UAUAUAAUAAGGACAUAAUUUUUCAAAGUCUUAUAAAAAAAUAAUAAAGACAUAAUUUUUCAAAGUAUCGUCAUAUUACCUGAUUGAGCAAAGGACUUCAAUUUUUGGCGGCAAAGAAACAACUAUUCCAUGUGAAAAUUUACUCUUAUGAUAGCAGACCAAGACCCAAAAUUUAUCUGCAAACAAUAAAAAUAAUAAUCAUUUCAUAUUAUACAGCCAUAAAAAACACUAAAGGAACAAAAUAACCCAACAAUCUAAGCCUACCAAUUUCAACAAAAAAAAACUUCAUGCAAAAUAAAACCUUAGGUGUCCUUUGUUUGGUCUGCCGAAAUUUGAAGCCUUGUCCCCUCCUAUUUCAAUAAUUGCAGCAAACUUAUCUUCAAUAAUGUGUAGUUACAAGCUAAUUUAAAAGGUUUGGAGUUACAUUGUUAGAGAUUUUGGAUCUGAAUGUGCAACAAAAAGCAAAAAAUUGACUUUGUAGUUGAGCGAGACAAACCAAGUGAGGGAAAGUAAUUUCAGGGGAUUAGAAGAGGAAGACAAAGAUGUGACUUUUGUACUUAAGUUUUGUCCUUUAACAUAUCUUUUUGUAAAAUAAUAAUAUUAAUAGGAAGACAAAGCUGUUGCUUUUGCACUUAAGUUUUGUUCUUUAACAUAUCUUUUUAUAAAUAAUAAUAUUAAAUUUUCUCUUUCUGAGACUAAAAGUGGCGGCACCAAAUGUCCACAAUUGAUUGUGAAAUAAGGUAAAACUAUAUGGCAAGUAUUACACUGAUUCUCCCGCCAAUUAAAUAUUUGCUAAUUUUAUUUAUAAAAAAAAACUUAUUUUGCUAGCUUACUAAUAAUGAGGAUUUCUUACAAAAUAAUAGGACAAAAAUCCUUUUUAAUUAUUUUUUUUCCUAAUCACUCUUAGUUUAAUGAAUGGUCAAUAUUGAUUUUAAAUUUUCAUGUUGAUAAUUAAACUAAUUUUUUCAUUAGAUUUAAAAAAAUUAGGAAAAAAAUCCUAAUUUUAAAUUAAUAUAACUUUAUACGAUAAUCUUUUAAUAUGAAAAUUGAUUAUAAUAUUCUCUCAAAAAAAAUUAUUUCAUGUAAGAUAACAUAUAUAGGACCAUUUAUUCUAUGCAAAUUACAAUAGUAUUUGUGGACCAUUAAAUUAACUCUUUUGGAAUAAUUGAGAUAUAUUGUUUAGUAUACGAAAUCUAUAAUUAAAUACAACCAACCCACAAAUUCAAAGUCAACAAGGCUGCUAACCAUGCAUGUGUAUAAAGCAAAAGCACAUGGGGGUGUGUGUACAUAUAUAUCAUGAGCAAGCAAAAUAAUGAAAAAAACAUGGAGUUUGUGUUUUAAAGAAAUAUAUUAGUGAAUAAAAAUAAAGAAGUAAAAAAUUAAUUGUCUUUUGUUCUAUAAAAUAAUAAUGAAUUAUUCAUGAUUAUAAAUACAAAUAGUAUUUGAAUAUUCUACAGCGGAAUCAUCAACUUAUCAUAAAUGCUGACUUCAACAUUAUUUAUCAUAUGCUUGUUUUCUAUGACAAUAGAAUUAUUGAUUUUUGAUCAAAUGAAAUUCCACUACAAAAACAAAAUUCGUUGCAAAAUAUGAACUUUCUGAGACGAAAUUGAUCUGGCCACAAAAACAAUCUCUUUGGUUAUAUUCCUUUUUGCAAUCAGAAAAAUAUUUGUCGCACAUUUAUCACUUUUGUCGACCAAAUAUAUUGGCCACAAAAUCUCAUCACAGAAAGUGUAGUUACUACAGCUAAAUCAUUGUGUUGUCGCAAAUUAUACGACAUUCUGCGACCAAUUAGUAUUUAUCUCAGAUAACAUUAUAUGUGGCCAAGACAUGGUCGCAAUAGAUGAAAUAAUUGUCGCAAAAACUUUACACAUUUGAGUUUACCCAUCCUUUAUAAUCCACGACCAUUAAUCGAUAUGGUUGUUGAAAAUAGGAUUUAGUGGAAAAAAUCAUGUGGUCGCAAAAAGAUUGGUCGCAAAUGACGGCAUUUCUACUAGUGUAAUUUGUUAUACAAAGUCUAGGAGCUUGUUUGUUAAAUGUCUUAAAUUUGAAAAGUUGUUAAUUUUAGAUUUUUUUU